rnacentral:rRNA from 1 species
AGCAGCCGCGGUAAUUCCAGCUCCAAUAGCGUAUAUUAAAAGUUGCUGCAGUUAAAAAGCUCGUAGUUGAAUUUCGGGACUAAUAUGUCGGUCGUGCCUCGGUACGUACUGGUUUAUUGGUUUCUCCUUUCUGAAGAACCAUGAUGUCAUUUAUUUGGUGUCGUGGGGAAUCAGGACUGUUACUUUGAAAAAUUAGAGUGUUUAAAGCAGGCUCACGCUUGAAUACAUUAGCAUGGAAUAAUGAAAUAGGACGUUCGAUCCUAUUUUGUUGGUUUCUAGGAUUGACGUAAUGAUUAAUAGGGAUAGUUGGGGCAUUAGUAUUCAAUUGUCAGAGUUGAAAUUCUUGGGAUUUAUUGAAGACUAACUACUGCGAAAAG